GGUGGGGGGUGGUUUCUCCCAUACUGUUCUCGUGAUAGAGAGUCUCACGAAAUCUUUUGGUUUUAAAAGAGGCAGUUUUUUCCUGUGCUCCUACUUCCAUCUCUUCUGCCACCUUGUGAAGAAGGUGCCUGCUUCCCCUUCACCUUCCGCCAUGAUUGUCAGCUUCCUGAGGCCUCCCCAGACAUGCAGAACUGUCUGAAGUCUCAGUGGGCUCAACCAGUUCCCCUGUUCAACAUUCGGCAAGGUCCAAAUGAAGGUGACAAUCAACAGGGAUCUUAUUGGGAAGCUCUGGUCUGGGGAUGGUAACAGCAUUCCACUGUUCCUGGUAUCUGAGUAUUACAGCAACCUUUGCUGGGGUUUUAAAUCCUGCUCUAACUGAGGACUGUGGUCUACCUGUACUGGAGAUCCAAUUUUCUUAAUCUGAGCAAGAGGCAAGAAUGAAUGUGAAGUCGGAGUAAUGUUCUGAUGGUGUCAGAAGUAGGAUCUGAAGAAGAGACUUAACAAUCCCCAGGAGUGCUGAGUGAACAAGCAAGGUACCUGCAAGGACCUACUUUUGUCCCUUGAUCUCUCAAAGUGGCUGGGGAUCAUGGAUGGAUACAUGUGACCAAGCAUUGCAAGUUAAAGAUAUUUCUGAAUCUUGGACCUCUUAUUUACAGUGAAGCCCCCUCAUGCAUAGUAAAGCAGAGAGGAAUGUAAAAGGUUGCUGCAUGGAUAAUCAAUUUCUGAUGGAGUCUCACUCUGUUGCCCAAGCUGGAGUGCAACAGCAUGAUCUUGGCUUACUGCAACCUCUGCCUCCCGGGUUCAAGCGAUUCUGCUGCCUCAGCCUCCUGAAUAGCUGGAAUUACAGGCACCCACCACCAUACCCAGCUAAUUUUUUGUAUUUUUAGUAGAGACGGGGUUUCACCGUGUUAGCCAGGAUGGUCUUAAUCUGCUGACCUCUUGAUCCACCCACCUUGCCCUCCCAAAGUGCUUAGAUUACUGGCAUGAGCCAUUGCACCAGGUCUUAUUUAUCUUUUUGAGACAGGUUUUAGCUCUGUCACUCAGGCUGGAGUGCAGUGGUGCAAUGAUGGCUCAAUGCAGCACCAACCUCCAGGGCUCAAGUAACCCUCCCACCUCAGCUUCCUGAGUAGCUGGGACCACAAGCGUGUGUCACCAUACCUGACACAUUUCUUAGACCUCAGAAAAGAUGCUCAACACCAUAAGUCACUAGGAAUAUUCAGUAUUCAAAUAGAGGCUUCAAUGGGCUCCGAACUAUCCCCUCCUGAACUCUAUAAAAAGCGUGUUUCCAACCGGCUGAAUGAAAACAAAGGUUUACAUCUGUGAGAUGAAUUCACACAUCAGAAAGCAUUUUCACCAAGAACUUUUCUAGUUUUAUAGCAAGAUGUUCAUUUUUUCAAUAUUGGUCUCAAUGGGCUCCAAAAUGUCCCUUUGUACAGUCUACAAAAAUUUUUGCCAAAGUACUGAAUCAAAACAAAUGUUUAACACUGUGAGAUGAAUUUUCAAGUCACCAAACAUUUUUACAGAUAGUUUGUAUCUACUUUUUAAUCACAAAACUUAGAAUUGUUCACUAUAAGCCUCAAAGGGCUCUAAAUUGUCCCCCUUAGCUUCUACUAAAAGAGAGUUUUGAACCUAGUGUGUAGAAACAAAAGUUUAAGUCUGUGAAAUAAAUCCCCACAUUGCAAAGCUAUUUCACAGAUAGCUUGCUUCUAGUUUUUAUCAUGAAUUAUUCAACUUUUCACUACAGGCCUCAAUGGGCUCUGAAAUGUCCCUUCAUACAUUCUACAAAAAGAGUGUUUCCAACUUAGCUGAAUCAAAAGGAAGUUUAAACUGUAUGAGAUGAAACCGCAAAUUGCAAAGCAUUUUCACAUAUAGCUUCUAUAGUUUCUAUCAUAUAAUAUUCAGUUUUUCACUGUAGGCCUCCAUGGGCUAUGAAAUGUCCCCUCAUAGGUUCUACAGAAAGGUGUUUCCAACAUGCUGAAUGAAAACAAAGAUUUAACUUUGUGAGAUGAACCCACACAUCACAAAACAUUUUUAUGGAUGGAUUUUCUCUAGUUUUUAUUGCAGAAUAUUUGAUUUCAUGCUGUAGGUCUCAAUUUUCUCCAAAAUUUCCCCUUGUAGAUUCUACAAAAAGAAUAUUUCCAAUCUGCUGAAUCAAAACCGAUGUUCAAUUCUGUGAGAUGAUAUGCAAAGCUUUUUCACAGAUAGCCUGUUUCUAGUUUUUAUUGUGGGAUAUUUGGUUUUUCACUAUAAGCAUCAGUGGGCUCUGAAAUUGUCCCUUUGUAGAUUCUACAAAAAGAGGGUUUCCAACCUGUUGAAUCAAAAUAAAGUUUUAACUUUGUAAGAUGAACCCACACAUCGCAAAGCAUUUUCACCCAUAGCUUGUUUCUAAUUUUUACCAUGGGUUAUUGGUUUUUCACUAAAUGCCUCAGUGGACUAGGAAUUGUUGCCUUGUAGAUUGUACAACCAAAGAGUUUCCAACCUGCUGAAGCAAAACACAGGUUUAACUUUGUAAGAUGAAUCUACACAUUGCAAAGCAUUUUUACAGAUAGGUUGCUUUGAGUUUUUAUCAAGAGAUAUUUGAUUUUUCACAGUAUGCUUCAAUGGGUUAUGAAAUCUCCCCUUGUAGAUUCUACAAAAAAAGUUUCCAAACUGAUGAAUCAAAAGAAAAGUUCAACUUGUGAGAUGAAAUCACACAUUACAAAGUAUUUUCAGAAAUAGCUUCUUUAUAGUAUUUCUCGCAGGAUAUUAGAUUUUCCAAUAUUAGCCUCAACGAGCUCUGAAAUGUCCCUUUGUAGAUUGUACAAAAUGAGUGUUUCCAACCUAUGGAAUAAAAAGGAAGGUUUAACUCUGUGAGAUAAAUCCACACAUCACAAAGCAUCUUCACAGAUGGCUUGUUUCUAAUUUUUAUUGUGGGAUAUUCGGUUUUUCACUAAAGGCCUCAAGCACUCCGAAAUGUCCUUUUGUAGAUUCUAUAACAAGAGUGUUUUAAAACUGCUGAAUCAAAACAAACGUGUAACUCUUUGAGAGGAACCCACACAUCACAAAGCAUAUUUUCAGAUCACUUGUUUCUAGUUUUUAAAGCAUGAUAUUCGGUUUUUCACUAUAUGCCUCAUCAGACUCAGAAAUGUCUCAUAGUAGAUUUUACAAAAACAGUGUUUCCUACCUGCUGAAUCAAAACAACAGUUUAAAUCUGUGAGAUGACUCCAAACCUCGCAAAGCAUUUUCACAGAUAGUUUUUUCCUAGUUUUUUUCGCAGGAUAUUUGGUUUUUCAGUAUAGGCCUCAAUGAACUCUGAAAUGUCCAUUCAUAGGUUCUAUAAAAGUGUGUUCCCAACUCCCUGUAUAAUAGCAAAGGUUUAACUCUGUGAAAUGAAUCUAUACAUUGGAAAACAUUUUCACAAAUAGCUUGUUCCUAGCUUUUAUGAUGAGACAUUUGAUUUUUUACUAUUGGCCUCAAUGGGUUCAGAAAUGUCUCUUUGCAGAUUCUACAAAAAAAAAAGUUUUUCAUUUUUCUGAACAAAAAUAAAGGUUUAACUCUUUGAUAUGAAAUCAGACAUCACAAAGAAUUUUCACACAUAGCUUGUUUCUAGGGUUCAUCACUGGAUAUUGUGUUUUUCAUUAUAGGCUUCAAAGGAGUCUUAAUUGUAACUUCCUAAUUCUACAAAAAGAGUGUCCCCCAACCUGCUGUAUGUAAAUAAAGGUUUACCUCUGUGAGAUAAAUCUUCACAUUGCAAAGCAUUUUCCCCGAUAGCUUGUUUCUAGUUUUUAUAUCGGGAUAUUGAUUUUUCACUAUAGGCUUCAAUGGGCUUUGAAAGAUUCCUCUGUAGAUUGUACAAAAAGAGUGUUUUAACCUGCUGAAUCAAAACAACGUUUAACUUUUUGAGAUACAUCCACACAUCACAAAGUAUUUUCACGGAUAGGUUUUUAUUUUAUUUUAUUUUAUUUUUUUUAGAUGGAGUCUCACUCAGUCACCCAGGCUGGAGUGCAGUGGCACGAUCUUGGCUUCCCGGGUUCAUGCCAUUCUCCUGCCUCAGCCUCCCAAGUAGCUGAGACUACAGGUGUCUGCCACCAGGCCAGGCUAAUUUUUUGUGUUUUUAGUAGAGAUGGGGUUUCACCAUGUUAGCCAGGAUGGUCUCGAUCUCCUGACCUCGUGAUCCACCCGCCUCAGCCUUUCAAAGUGCUGGGACUACAGGCGUGAGCCACCAUGCCUGGCCAAUAGCUUUUUUUUACUUUUAUUGUGGAAUAUUGGUUUUUCACUACAGGCUGAUAUUGGCUUCAAAUUGUACCCUCACAGAUUCUACAAACAGUGAAUUUUCAAGCUUCUGAAGCAAAAUAAAGGUUUAACCUUGUAAGAUGAAUCUGCACAUUAUUGCUGGAUAUUCGGUUUUUCACCGUAGGCAUCGAUUUUCUCUGAAAUGUCCUAUUGAAGAUUUUGCCAAAAGAGUGUUUCUACCCUGCUGAAUCAAAAGAAUGGUUUAAUUCUGUGAGAUGAAAUCACCCAUCGUAAAUUAUUUUCAGAGACAUCUUCAUAUAGUUUUUACCUCAGAAUAUUCGGUUUUUCACUAUAAGCCUCAAUGGGCUUUGAAAUGUCUCCCAUAAAUUGUACAAAAAAAAAAAGGAAUUUCCAACCUGUUGAAUCAAAACAAAUAUUUAAUGUUGUGAGAUAAAUUCAAAUAUCGCAAAGCAUUUUCACAGAUUUUUUUUCUACUUUUUAUCACGGAAUAUUUGGUUUUUCACUAUAGUCCUCAGUGGGCUCAGAAAUGCCCCUUGUAGAUUCUACAAAAAGAAUGUUUCUAACCUGCUGAACCAAAACAAUACUUUAACUCUUUGAGGUGAAUCCACACAUUGCAAACAUUUUCACAGAUAGCUUGUUUUUAGUUUUGAUCACGUAAUAUUGGAUGUUUUACAAUAGGCCUCAACGGGCUCAGAAUUGUCCCCUCUUAGAUUCUACUAAAAGAGUGUUUCCAAAAUGCUGUGUAAAAAUAAAGGCUUAACACUGUGAGAUGAAUCGACACAUGACAAAGCAUUUUCACAAGUAGCUUGUUUUUACUUUUCAUCGGGAGAUAUUCAGUUUUUCAAUAUAUUCCUCCAUGGGCUCUGAAAUGUCCCUUCAUAGAUUCUAUGAAAAGACUGUAUCCAACUGAUUGAAUCAAGACAAAGAUAUAACUCUGUGCGAGAAAUCCACACAUCACAAAGCAUUUUCACUGAUAGCUUGUUUCUAGUUUUUAUCACGGGAUAAUUGGUUUUUGACUAUAGGCCUCAAUGGGCUUCAAAAUGUCCUUUCAUAGAUUCUACAAAAAGAGUGCUUCAGUCCUGCUCAAUCAAAGCAAAGGUUUAAUUCUCUGAAAUGAAUCCACAUAUCACAAAUCAUUUUCCAAUAUAGCUUGUUGCUAGUUUUUGUAGUGGGAUAUUUAAUUUUUUACUUUAGACCUCAAUGGGCUCUGAAAUGUGCCUUCUUAGAUUCUACAAAGAGUGUUUCUCACCUGCUAAAUCAAAACAAUGGUUUAACUUUAUGAGAUAAGUCCACACGUCACAAAGCAUUUUUACAAAUAGCUUGUUUCUAAUUUUUAUCAUGGGAUAUUCAGUUUUUUCAGUGUAGGCCUCAAUGGUCUGUGAAAUGUCCCCUCGUAGAUUCUACAAAUAGAGUUGUUGCAAUCUGAUAAAUCAAACAUUUAAUUCUGUGAGAUAAAUCUAUAAAUCUACACAUCUCAAAGCAUUUUCCCAGAUAGCUUGUUUCUGGUUUUUAUCAUGGGAUAUUUGGUUUUUCACUAUAGACCUCAAUAGGCUCUGAAAUGUCCCCUCAUAGAGUCUACAAAAAGAGUGAUUUCAACCUGCUGAAUAAAAACGAAGGUUUAACUCUGUGACAUAAAAUAACAAAUCAUAAAAUAUUUUCACAGUUGGCUUGUUUCUAGUUUUUAUCAUGCAAUACUCAGUUUUUCAUGACAGGGCACAAUGGGCUCCAAAAUGUCCCUUUGUACAUUCUAAAAAAAGAGUGAUUUUGGUCUGCUGAAUAAAAACAAAGGUUUUAUACUGUGAGGAAUCCACACAUAGGCAGGAAUUUUCACAGAUAGCUUGUUUCUAGUUUUCAUCGCAGGAUGUUCGGUUUUUUAAUAUACUUCUUGAUGGACUCUGAAAUAUCCCUUCAUAGACUCUACAAAGAGAGCAUUUACAACCUGCUGAGUAAAAACAAAGGUUUAACCCUGUGAGAUGAAUCCAGACAUCUCAAAGCAUUCUCAUAUAUAACUUGUUUCUAGUUUUUAUCUUGAGAUAUAACGCUUUUAACUUUAGGCCUUAAUGUUCUCUGAAAUGUGCCAUUUUAGUUUCUACAAAAAGAGUGUUUCAAACUGCUGAAUUAAAACAAGGUUUAAGUCUGUGAUAUGAAUUGACACAUCACAAAGUAUUUUCACAGAUAGCUUUUUACUAGGUUUUGUCAUGGGAUUUUCAGUUUUUCACUAAUGGCUUUCAUGUGCUCUGAAAUGUCCCUAUGUAGAUUUUACAAAAAGGGUGUUUCCAGCCUACUGAAUCAAAACAAGGGUUUAAGUCUAUGAGAUAUAUCCAUACAUUGCAAAGCACUUUCGCAGAUUGCUAGUUUCUAGCUUUUAUCAUGAGAUACUUAGUUUUUCACUAUAGACCUCAAUAGGCUCCCAAAUGGCUCUCAUAGAUUGUACAAAAAGAGGGUUUUCAAAGUGCUGAAUCAAAAAAAGUUUUAACUCAGUGAGGUGAAUCCACACAUUGCAAAAUAUUUUCACAGAUAGCUUGUUUUUGUUUGUUUGUUUGUUUGUUUUGUUUUUAUCAUGGGAUAUUUCAUUUUUCACUAUAGGACUCAAUGGGCACCAAAAUGUCUUCUCCUAGAUCCUACAAACUGACUGUUUCCAACUUGCUUAAUCAAAACAAAGGUUUAACUCUGUGAUAUGAAUACACACAUCCCAAAGGAUUUUCACAGAUAGCUUGUUUCUUGUUUAUAUCUCCACGUAUUUUGUUUUUCACUGUAGGUUUCAAUGGGCUUUGAAAUGUUUCUUCGUAGAUUGUGCAAAAAGAGUUUUUCAAAUCUGCCA
rnacentral:lncRNA from 1 species